rnacentral:lncRNA from 1 species
UUUAAUGAGACUUAUGAUCAAAAUAACCAUGAUCCAAGUUCAACAGAAGUCAAUAAAGGUCAAAAAAAUAUAAAAUGCAUUAAAAACAAUUUUAAAAGGGAAAUAAAAGAUAAAAUCCAUAAAGCCCUUCAAAACACCAAAUAAAUGGCCAAGAAAAUUAUGGAAGAUUGGAAAUAAAAUAGGAAGCAUAAAAUAAUUUUUUCAGAAUUUAAAAAUGUAUAAAAGUAUUUUUAAACCGAUUAAAAUAAAUGAGAAAAGAGAGAAUUCAA